CGUGUAGGCGGUUUGGUAAGUUGGAUAUGAAAGCUCCAGGCUCAACCUGGAGAGGCCAUUCAAAACUGCCAGACUAGAGGACGGUAGAGGGAGGUGGAAUUCCAAGUGUAGCGGUGAAAUGCGUAGAUACUUGGAGGAACACCAGUGGCGAAGGCGGCCUCCUGGGCCGUUCCUGACGCUCAGACGCGAAAGCUAGGGGAGCGAACAGGAUUAGAUACCCUGGUAGUCC
rnacentral:rRNA from 1 species